rnacentral:rRNA from 1 species
AGAGUUUGAUCAUGGCUCAGGACGAACGCUGGCGGCGUGCCUAACACAUGCAAGUCGAACGGUCUGAGGGGGUGUGAGGUUAGAGGUUAUCUCGCCUCUCACUUCGCAGGCUAGUGGCGGACGGGUGAGUAACACGUGGAUAACCUACCUGUAAGACCGGGAUAACAGUGGGAAACUGCUGCUAAUACCGGAUAAUCUGACCUUAGGGCAUCCUGGGGUUAGGAAAGGGGUUGAACCGCUUACAGAUGGGUCCGCGGCCCAUUAGCUAGCUGGUGGGGUAAUGGUCUACCAAGGCGAAGACGGGUAGCUGGUCUGAGAGGAUGAUCAGCCACACUGGCACUGAAACACGGGCCAGACUCCUACGGGAGGCAGCAGGAAGGAAUUUUGGACAAUGGGGGAAACCCUGAUCCAGCAACGCCGCGUGGGCGAUGAAGGUCUUCGGAUCGUAAAGCCCUUUUCUGCGGGAAGAGAGAGGACGGUACCGCAGGAAUAAGUCUCGGCUAACUACGUGCCAGCAGCCGCGGUAAAACGUAGGAGGCGAGCGUUAUCCGGAUUUACUGGGCGUAAAGCGCAUGCAGGCGGUUCUGCAAGUUGGGCGUGAAAUCUCUCGGCUUAACCGGGAGGGGUCGUUCAAUACUGCAGGACUUGAGUGCAGGAGAGGAAAGCGGAAUUCCCGGUGUAGCGGUAAUAUGCGCAGAUAUCGGGAAGAACACCAGUGGCGAAGGCGGCUUUCUGGCCUGUAACUGACGCUAAGAUGCGAAAGCCAGGGGAGCGAACGGGAUUAGAUACCCCGGUAGUCCUGGCCGUAAACGAUGGAUACUAGGUGUGGCUGGUAUUGACCCCAGCCGUGCCGAAGCCAACGCGUUAAGUAUCCCGCCUGGGGAGUACGACCGCAAGGUUAAAACUCAAAUGAAUUGACGG